GACGAACGCUGGCGGCGUGCUUAACACAUGCAAGUCGAACGGAAAGGCCCUGCUUUUGUGGGGUGCUCGAGUGGCGAACGGGUGAGUAACACGAGAGUAACCUGCCCUGGACUUUGGGAUAACUUCAGGAAACUGGGGCUAAUACCGGAUAGGAGCUCCUGCUGCAUGGUGGGGGUUGGAAAGUUUCGGCGGUUGGGGAUGGACUCGCGGCUUAUCAGCUUGUUGGUGGGGUAGUGGCUUACCAAGGCUUUGAAGGGUAGCCGGCCUGAGAGGGUGACCGGCCAAAUUGGGACUGAGAUGCGGCCCAGACUCCUACGGGAGGCAGCAGUGGGGAAUAUUGCACAAUGGGCGGAAGCCUGAUGCAGCAACGGCGCGUGCGGGAUGACGGCCUUCGGGUUGUAAACCGCUUUCGCCUGUGACGAAGCGUGAGUGACGGUAAUGGGUAAAGAAGCACCGGCUAACUACGUG
rnacentral:rRNA from 1 species